rnacentral:rRNA from 1 species
GACGAACGCUGGCGGCGUGCUUAACACAUGCAAGUCGAACGGUAAGGCCCUUCGGGGUACACGAGUGGCGAACGGGUGAGUAACACGUGGGUGAUCUGCCCUGCACUUCGGGAUAAGCCUGGGAAACUGGGUCUAAUACCGGAUAGGACCACUGCCUGCAUGGGUGGUGGUGGAAAGCUUUUGCGGUGUGGGAUGGGCCCGCGGCCUAUCAGCUUGUUGGUGGGGUGAUGGCCUACCAAGGCGACGACGGGUAGCCGGCCUGGGAGGGUGACCGGCCACACUGGGACUGAGAUACGGCCCAGACUCCUACGGGAGGCAGCAGUGGGGAAUAUUGCACAAUGGGCGUAAGCCUGAUGCAGCGACGCCGCGUGAGGGAUGACGGCCUUCGGGUUGUAAACCUCUUUCAGCACCGACGAAGCGCAAGUGACGGUAGGUGCAGAAGAAGGACCGGCCAACUACGUGCCAGCCGCCGCCAUAA